UACAGAGGGGGCAAGCGUUGUUCGGAAUUACUGGGCGUAAAGGGCGCGUAGGCGGCCUGUUAAGUCGAACGUGAAAUCCCUGGGCUCAACCCAGGAACUGCGUCCGAUACUGGCAGGCUUGAAUUCGGGAGAGGGAUGCGGAAUUCCAGGUGUAGCGGUGAAAUGCGUAGAUAUCUGGAAGAACACCGGUGGCGAAGGCGGCAUCCUGGACCGAUACUGACGCUGAGGCGCGAAAGCGUGGGGAGCAAACAGG
rnacentral:rRNA from 1 species